rnacentral:rRNA from 1 species
GGACGAACGCUGGCGGCGUGCCUAAUACAUGCAAGUCGAACGAACUGUGGAAAGCUUGCUUUCAGAGUUAGUGGCGAACGGGUGAGUAACACGUAAGUAACCUAGCUAUUAGACGAGGAUAACUACUGGAAACGGUAGCUAAGACUGGAUAUGAUAGAAAUAUUUAAAGGAUGCUAAGGCAUCGCUAAUAGAGGGGCUUGCGGCGCAUUAGCUAGUUGGUAGGGUAAAAGCCAACCAAGGCGAUGAUGCGUAGCCGACCUGAGAGGGUGACCGGCCACACUGGGACUGAGACACGGCCCAGACUCCUACGGGAGGCAGCAGUAGGGAAUCUUCGGCAAUGGACGAAAGUCUGACCGAGCAACGCCGCGUGAGUGAAGAAAGUUUUCGGAUUGUAAAGCUCUGUUAUUAGGGAAGAAAGGCUCUAGGAGGAAAUGCUUAGGGAUUGACGGUACCUAAUGAGGAAGCCACGGCUAACUACGUGCCAGCAGCGGC